rnacentral:rRNA from 1 species
UACGUAGGUCCCGAGCGUUGUCCGGAUCUAUUGGGCGUAAAGCGAGCGCAGGUGGUUUAUUAAGUCUGGUGUAAAAGGCAGUGGCACAACCAUUGUAUGCAUUGGAAACUGGUAGACUUGAGUGCAGGAGAGGAGAGUGGAAUUCCAUGUGUAGCGGUGAAAUGCGUAGAUAUAUGGAGGAACACCGGUGGCGAAAGCGGCUCUCUGGCCUGUAACUGACACUGAGGCUCGAAAGCGUGGGGAGCAAACAGG